UACGUAGGGUGCAAGCGUUAAUCGGAAUUACUGGGCGUAAAGCGUGCGCAGGCGGUUUUGUAAGUCUGACGUGAAAUCCCCGAGCUUAACUUGGGAAUUGCGUUGGAGACUGCAAGGCUGGAGUCUGGCAGAGGGGGGUAGAAUUCCACGUGUAGCAGUGAAAUGCGUAGAGAUGUGGAGGAACACCGAUGGCGAAGGCACUUUACUGGGCUAUUACUAACACUCAGAGAC
rnacentral:rRNA from 1 species